GACUGGGGCCCCUCACGACCAACUCGCGGACAUCCACCAAGCCCCGCAACAGGAACCUCAAGCCAAAAUGGGGAAUUUGACACCAUUUCAGGAGAUGAUUGGGGAUCCUCGUGUCCAACUCGGGGGUACGAACCAACCCCAGAAGGAAUCUCAAGUGAGGAUGACCAAAAGUGAGCUUCCCUUCUUGCCCCAAACUUUCUUCACAUUAACUCUGCAUGGAGAGGACCUAAAAAGUUUCUGAAAACAUUCAUGUGUUAAAGGGAAAAUAAAUCUUGUAACGAAUCUAGAUACUUUCAAAUGCAUAACUUGUGCUUAACAUUUAGAGGUCUCUGCUGCCAAAAUAUUAUCUGCUGUAUAUUACCCGCAUCAUUAUAUUAAA